rnacentral:rRNA from 1 species
AUUUUGAUGAGCUCGCGUCUGAUUAGCUAGUUGGUAAGGUAUGGCUUACCAAGGCUGAGAUCAGUAGCUGGUCUGAGAGGAUGAUCAGCCACACUGGAACUGAAACACGGUCCAGACUCCUACGGGAGGCAGCAGGUGGGGAAUCUUGCGCAAUGGACGAAGUCUGACGCAGCCACGCCGCGUGAGUGAAGAAGGCCUUCGGGUUGUAAAGCUCUGUCGGAGGGGACAAAAACGUUUAGGGUUAAUAGCCCUAGAUCUUGAUGGUACCCUUAAAGGAAGCACCGGCUAACUUCGUG